AAAAAUCAAAUCAAAUCAAGCUAACAUGACAUUAUAUUUUAAGCAAAAACUAGUAAAAAGUUUGACUUUUCCCAAAACCAGGAUGUUUAGCAUUCAAUGGUGAUUGACAGAUGUUGUUUAUUGUCAAAUGGGAAAGGAAAAGACCAGUUAAGGGACCUACCAUUUGAUUUUUAUGGGGGGCUAGGAUGAAAAAUUUUGUCCUGCAUUUUUUUUAGCUGUAAUCUCUGUCCUGCCUUUUUAUUUUUCACUCUGUUCGGUCCUGCCCUUUUUUUUUUUUUUUUUUUAAUGUUUCCUGACUUUUUUUAACCUAAAUUGUCUUCCUGACUUUUUUUUUUUUUUGCAAGUGUCUCAUUCUGCCUUUUUUUUUUUUACUCAAAACUCCUGUCCUGCCUAUUUUUUUUCAAAUUUCAUCCUAGCCCCUCCAUAAAAAUCAAAUGGUAGCUCCCUAAGAAGAUGUACCUAAGUAGUAUUAUAGUACUUGUCUUUAUUUCUUAGUACUGUAAAUUACUCUUGAGUGGAUACCAAAUUGGCAAUGAGGAAGAGGUAAUAAUAUCCUAUCCUUACCAAUCAGGAACAACUCGGAAAUUGUUUCCUAUCUUAUUCUUGGCUUUUUGCAUAUAUUUUAAGUACAAACACAUUUAGUAACUAUACAUAUUUUAAGGGCCAUCUAAAAAUGAUAGCUGGUUUCCAAUUUUCACAUGUCAUGCCGCUAGGGGAAACCAACAUUCAUUUUCCCAUGGCUUAACUUUUAGAUAUACUCUUAUUUUGAACUUCAUUCUCCUAUCUGGACUUUUAGAUAUAUUGUUUUUUUUAUCAUAAUCAAACAUAAAGUUCUGGAUAGGUGAUUUUUACUUCAUCUCUG
rnacentral:lncRNA from 1 species